GGGACCGUAGCUCAGACUGAGAAGACAAAGUUUAAGGCUAUGUCUUCGGCUUAGGAGAGCACUACGCUGAAGACGUAGGUGUCCUGGAUUCAAAUUCCAGCGGUCCCA
rnacentral:tRNA from 1 species